UACGUAGGGACCAAGCGUUGUUCGGAUUUACUGGGCGUAAAGGGCGCGUAGGCGGCGUGUUAAGUCACUUGUGAAAUCUCUAAGCUUAACUUAGAACGGUCAAGUGAUACUGAUGUGCUAGAGUGCAGAAGGGGCAACCGGAAUUCUUGGUGUAGCGGUGAAAUGCGCAGAUAUCAGGAGGAAUACCGGUGGCGAAGGCGGCCUUCUGGACGAUGACUGACGCUGGAGACGCGAAAGCGUGGGGAGCAAACAGG
rnacentral:rRNA from 1 species